rnacentral:piRNA from 1 species
UGCAGUGCUGUGCUAGAGCACCAGGUGC